UUUAGACUAUACUCUAGGUUCAGACACAGACUCUACGGCAUAAAGGCGGCGCCGGAGCGCCGAAGCACGCUGUGCCUCCACGGUUUUGAAGUGUCGAAGGCUUUGGGCCAUUCAGUUAAUGAUCCCUCCGCAGGUUCACCUACGGAGA
rnacentral:misc_RNA from 1 species